AAUGCUGAUUGCCGCUAUUAGGUUAGGGUUUAGGUAGGGACGUCCCAAGGAUCCCAGAUAGUACAAAUCACGAUUAUGCCGAGAUUUGCUGUUUGAAGUCUACACCCCGUAUUCACAGACAUCAUUCAUGGAUUCUGCAAUUGAAAAGCACUGUUCAGAGCUUGUAGCCCGUGAGCGAAGUGGUCAUACGGCUCUAACUGAGAGAAAUGUCCUUUACGUGUGGGGAGGCUACGUGUCAAUUGCUGAUGAUGAAGUUUUCCUACCUAAUGAUGAAAUCUGGUUAUAUGACUUAGAAAGAGGUGUAUGGGAAAUGUGCAGGAUGUCAGGUGAGGUCCCGCCCCCCAUGUCAGGCACCUGUGGCUGCUCUCUGAAUGGAGACAUGUACAUAUUUGGGGGAUGCGAUGACAACGGCCAGACCAACCAGCUUUACUGUGUCAAUCUUCUGGAUGGAAAAUACACUUGGAGGAAAAUUAACCAUAAGAGUGGCUCCCCUCCCUCACCCAGAGAUAAGCUCUCUUGCUGGGUUUUCAAUGGCAGGC